GAUGCUUUCGUUCCCUCCACACUGACCGGUGGAGCAGGAGGAUGAAUAAUAUUUGGGUGUCCUCUGUUUGCUGUAGCUGCUCUACCUGAGAAUACAAAAUGUUUGCAGGUUUGAUCCCUGUAGCCAUGAGACAUCACUAUUAUGAUCUUGAGAAAACCAACUGAAAGAAGAGUGCUUCAGGAAAAAGAAAAAAAUGCAGAGGAACUCAAACCUCGAUCCAACAUCUUCCACACAUCCUGUAGGGAAUCAUCAGUGCCCAUGGAUGACAACAAAAAGUGGGAUGACCCAGGCAGCUGUACCGGAG